GAUGAACGCUGGCGGCGUGCCUAAUACAUGCAAGUCGAACGCUGGAGAUCUAGCUUGCUAGAUCGAAGGAGUGGCGAACGGGUGAGUAAUACAUAAGCAACCUACCCACGAAGACUGGGAUAAUCUCUGGAAACGGGGACUAAUACCGGAUAGGUAAUCGGAAGGCAUCUUCUGGUUAUUAAAGGUUAAAAACACUGGUGGAUGGGCUUAUGGCGCAUUAGUUAGUUGGUGAGGUAACGGCCCACCAAGACGAUGAUGCGUAGCCGGCCUGAGAGGGUGAACGGCCACAUUGGGACUGAGACACGGCCCAGACUCCUACGGGAGGCAGCAGUAGGGAAUUUUCAGCAAUGGGGGCAACCCUGACCGAGCAACGCCGCGUGAGUGAAGACGGCCUUCGGGUUGUAAAGCUCUGUUGUAAGGGAAGAACGGUAGAUAGAGAAUAUCUAAGUGACGGUACCUUGCCAGAAAGCCACGGCUAACUACGUG
rnacentral:rRNA from 1 species